UACAGAGGGGGCAAGCGUUAUUCGGAAUUAUUGGGCGUAAAGGGCGCGUAGGCGGCUUGGCAAGUGGAUGGUGAAAUCCCUCGGCUUAACCGAGGAACUGCCGUCCAAACUGCUUAGCUUGAGACCGGGAGAGGUGAGAGGAAUUCCCAGUGUAGCGGUGAAAUGCGUAGAUAUUGGGAGGAACACCAGUGGCGAAGGCGGCUCACUGGACCGGUACUGACGCUGAGGCGCGAAAGCGUGGGGAGCAAACGGG
rnacentral:rRNA from 1 species